AGGGGUAUAGCUCAGUGGUAGAGUGCACACUUAGCAUGCACAAGGUCAUGGGUUCAAUUCCCAGUAUCUCCA
rnacentral:tRNA from 1 species